rnacentral:lncRNA from 1 species
AGACAUGACCGGUGGAGCGACGGAGCAGGCUUUUGGCAGAGGGUAGGUGGCCGAAGGUCAAGGGGCGGUUAAGGGUGAAGACCCUAGGUGCGGUGCACCUAGGGUUUGGUUGCUGAUUAGGGUUAGGUGUUUUGCUAGGGGUUUGGGCUUAAGUUUAGGUUAGUGGGUAUGGGUUAGAUAAUUGGGUUAAGGUUGGGCUGAUAUUGUAUUUGGGUUUGAUAGGUUAAGGUUGAUGGGUUAGAGUAGUAAAUGCGUUGAGGUUGGGUUAAUGUUUUGUUGUAUUGGGUCCAAAAUUGGC